UACGGGGGGGGCAAGCGUUGUUCGGAAUUACUGGGCGUAAAGGGCGCGUAGGCGGCCUUGUAAGUCUUGGGUGAAAUCCCUCAGCUCAACUGAGGAACUGCCUCGGAUACUGCAGGGCUUGAGGCCGGGAGAGGGUAGUGGAAUUCCCAGUGUAGCGGUGAAAUGCGUAGAUAUUGGGAGGAACACCGGUGGCGAAGGCGGCUACCUGGACCGGUUCUGACGCUGAUGCGCGAAAGCGUGGGGAGCAAACAGG
rnacentral:rRNA from 1 species